GAGGAUGUUCCUGAAGACCAAAUGAACGUCACCAAAGGAUUUUCUGAAGCCCCGAACCAAAGUUCGGAAGAUAUUGACUUUACUGACAUCAGACCCACCAGUAAAGGCAAGCCCCGGACAUAACCCACUAUUUUAAUUACACUGCAAUCUAUAUCUAUUUAUGUAUUCUAUGCAUUAAGUUCUUAGGAAUUGCUUGAAACCCUAGUUGCAUUCUCCUAGGAACCAAUGUGAUGGAUACUAGCACUUGAGUCCGACUAGCUGCUAUGCUAAUAGGGCCGGUAGAAGUCGGGUGAUUUCCUGUCACUCGCGCGAUAUAGGAGUUGUAAUGUUUACAUUCCUGUUACCACUAUAAGGAUGCCGGACGGGAGUUUUGUAAGGUAUCAUGGUCGAGAUGGUACCCCGUCUGUGUUGAUGAAUCUGAUAAGGUCGCAAUGUGUGGUAGUGCGGGUUAAGCGUUUGAAAGUACUAGCCACAUGCCGUGAGUUAUGGGUAAGCGGCAAGCCUAGUAGCCAAUCAGCCCAAGGAGUGGACAUACCUCCCACCACUCGUCUUGCUUCUUCUGGUUACUUAUGUUCGAUUGGGGAAAUACGUGUUGCAAGGGCAACCAGGAAUACGGGUUUUGUAGUCGCGCUACAGACGUAUGUCCUACACUUUGGGAGUGCGUAUGUUCCUGCAGUCGCUUGUGGUGGACCUGUCCACGAGUCGGAAUGAAAGGCAAACGGUUGCUUCGGAACUAUCGUUGGAUGUUCCAAGCGUGUGAGUUAGGUUUACCUUGCAAGGUUGAAAAUUCGAUUCUGAAUUGUCCGCUUCUCACGAAGAUUGAGACUGCUUGAUCCCUUUAUCACACAGAGUAACAAGAGCAACUAUAUGAUGAAUAAUACUGAUGGUUGAGAUAAAGAGCUCUACCUUGCUUGCUUAGUUGUAAGUGCUUAUCUAGAAUGGUUAAUCACAUAGAACUUGAAAGCUAAAAGUUGAAAAUAAGAAUCUACUCUUAGUUGCUUUUCAGCUGAAACUUAACCCAGAACUAUUAUAAGCCUUCAUAAGUCUAGUUAUGGGCUAAGUACACCCAAUCCCGGGUAAGCCUUGCUGAGUAUUAGUAUACUCAGCCUUGCUAGUUAUAUGUUUUGCAGGUAAUGUCUUGAAGACCCUACUCUUCCCUUGCCUUGGCCCUGUGCUCUUACAGAAGAUUGGUCCGUGGAAUAGAAUCCGUCCCCGGCCAGCACUGGUGAUAUCGAGUGAUGUCAUGCCCGGGCUUAGCAUGACAUCCGUCCUGACGACGUACUGUAAAUCACCGCGUAUGUUUUCCGCUGUCAAAAACCAUAGCUUAACAGUUUGUAAUCUUUUCUCUAAGUUUGAAAAUUUUGUACUACUUUUGGAAACUCUUGUAAUAUAAUUCCCUGUGAUGUAAAAUAUGAUGGUGAUUGUAUCUCUGGACUCACCUUCGUGUGAGGUAACCUUA
rnacentral:lncRNA from 1 species